UGUUAGUAUAAUCGAUUAAAACAAUCGUUAAAAUAUUCAAUGUUAACAAAAAGAAAAAAAGGAAAAAAAAAAGAAAAACAAAAAAAAAUAUAGAAAUUCAUUAACGCGGUAUAUUUAUCUGUAUAGAUUUUAUUUAAUUUACGAGUAGUCGAAGCAUAUAUGAAAGGCAAUAAUUGCAAUCGUGAAUCCAUAAUAUUCUAAAGGAACGACGUUGCCGACUAACUAAUGUGGAAUACGAGACACGUUGGAUUAACAUAAGUAUGUAUAUGCAAAUCGUCUUCGAGUGCUAUAUGUAAUACGUUUCCGUGUGCGUGAGUUUGUUCACGACAAAGACGAAGAAAGUCAUAUGACAGUGGUACGUGAACGUGCUUGUUUGUGCAAAAUCGCGCAAUGCUGGGAUCAGUAAAGGAAAUUACUUGCAUACGUAUUUAGUUAUGUACGUAUACAACUGUUAUUUCUUGCAUUUUCACGUAAACGAAUCGUUAUCGAAUUCACGAUAAACAAACCGCUCGAUGAUGAUGAUAAAAUGCAAAAUACGUUCCCUGUUUAAACUUAUAUACGAGGAAUCCACCUACGAUAAUCAUCCUCCGCCUAUGGAUUUCAUUUGAUGCGAGAAUAUCAUUAUAAAGUGAAUCAUGUGUGUGCGAGAAUCGAGUUACGAGGUGUAUCGAAAAAUGCGAACGUCGAUAAGAUCGACAUGUGAAUAAUAAUAUGGCUGUGGCGUAUGAAAAUGUUCUCGGAGAAUUAAUCAAAAACGAUUCGAAACUAUGACACUUCCUCAGGUAUCAUUGUCACGUUAUUUUCAAAAAUUAGUAGCCCUUCAAGCAAAAUAUUCUCUUACUAAUCAUCAUCCGGGUGGAUAAACUCGGAGGAGGGUCAUUAAAUCGAAAACACGGUAUCAGGUAGAAAGACUCGUAGAGAAAUCCAAGUAUUCGGGUAAGCGGAAUAGAACACUGUGGUGCCAGGUGUUUCAUGAUGUGCGGCAUGCGGUACAACGUGGCAAUGUUUCGACACAACCCGAAAUAAAAUGUUUAUCGAACGAUGCAGUGAAAAUGCACGGAAGAUGCCGAUGGGAAAAGAGAAGAGAGAAGAGAAGAUCAGAGCAGAGAAGAGCAGAGAAGAGCAGAGCAGAGCAGAGCAGAGCAGAGCAGAUCAGAUCAGAGCAGAGCAGAGCAGAACAGAGCAAAGGAGAGAAGUAGAGAGAAAAGGAGGGGAGAGGAGGGAAGAGGGGGAGGGGAGGAGAGGAGAGAAGAGAAGAGAAAUUGUUCAUCUUUCCUCUUCACCCCUCUUCUCUUUUUCCUUCGUCAUUAUGACGAGCAAAAGCAAAUCUUUCGGUAGGAAUAAUUUGCCAGAUCGAGGAAGAAAAAUAAAAAAUACAUUUAUCAAAGCAUCUCAUAUCUUUGGCGAAUGUUUCCGUGGCACGGAACAAAUAGGAAAUUCGAAAUUGUUACGUAAGAUUUACGAAGAACAAUGAAAUCAUUGACUUGAGUUAUCUUCACGAUAAUGAGAGAAUUACACGAUGUUUACAUGUAAACUUAAGCACAGACUUUUCGUUAUUGCGUAUGCACACAUGCGGAAACGUCGAUUCGUUAAUUGACAUUGACGUUAUUCUUGUAAAAUAUAUAGGUAUUAUAAAAAAAAAAAAAGAAAGAAAGAAAAAACAAAUCGAGUAUGAUAAUUCGUUUCCUUUUUUAAUUAUAUAUCAUGAUGAAUUAAAGUCAUAUCAGAAUUAUUCUUUAUCCGAGAAUACGCCCGGUGAAAAAUAAAUUUAGAUCAAAUUCAACUUUGUUACGUGUUUCUAUAAUUGAUCGAGAACACAUAUACAUUGAUAACUCAUGUUUACAUUUCUACGAUCGCGAAACCACUUUUUGGUUUUGUUAGACAAAUUAAAAAAAAAAAAAAAAAAAAAUAAAUAAAUACCUUAAGAAAAUGAUGUCAAUUAUAAAGGAAAAGAUCGAAGAUAACAUAUUAAACCGGUACACUAACUUAUAGAGCUUAACGAACACGUUCGUUCCACGUGAUAUGGCGAAGCGUAUAAGUGCUCACGUGCUUGCGAUCCCUCUUGGCGUAUGUAUGUACAAACGUACAAUAUAAAUGAUGCGAAAAUGUAGAAGCGAGAUAGGUAAAACGAGUUAGAGUGUCUGUGUCGUGUGUGCGGUGCAAAUUUUCGCGCAUUUAUUCCCAGAGUAAGAUAAAUCUCAAGUUUGAUUUUUAUGAAGAAAAAGAAAAAAAAAGGAAGAAAAAAAAUAAAAAAGAAAGAAAAGAAAAGAAAAAAAGGAAAAAGAAAUGUCUUAUCUAAUUUUACAAAAUGCAUUUGUUUAAAUUAAUAAUCUUUAAAAGUAUCGAAUCUAAAUAGUACUUUGCUUUCACCGAGAAGAAAGACGAUCCAUAAAAGAAAUAAAAUAUGGAAGAAAAAAAGGCGAAACAGCAACAGGUAGUCGUGUACGCUUUCCCAAAAACCACUCGAUUGCAAACUUGCUAAAGUAAUUACGGAAGGACGAUCUUAACUGUUCUGUUCGUUUCGUUUCUUUUAUCCAUACAUACGAUCAUUGAAAUUACAUAUAAUUGCGUGCACGAAAAAAAUAUAUGUACCGUAUGAAGAUACAAUAUAGGUUCGAAGGAAGCAUGAAUCAUACUUGCUUCUCCUCCACUAAAAUCAACUCAUUGUAUGUAAGUUCAGCGAGCUGCAAGACGAAAUGAUACGAAGAGAAAGUUUCGAUCGUUCGCUACGAUACACAUUAUCAUUAAUGCGAUAACCAUCAUUCUUUCUGGUAAUUGCUAAUUAUAUUAGCUUUCCUCUCUCUCUCUCUCUCUCUCUCUCUCUCUCUCACUUGCUCUCUCUCUCAUUUUCUCUCCCAUUUUCUCUCAUUCUCCACCUUUCUUUCUUUCGCUCUAACCAACACGUUAAUCGUUCGCUACAAAUUUAUAAUUCGCUUCUAAUUAUCUCAAGUAUCCGUGAUACAACUUUUCUUUCUAUGUAUCGGUAAAGUAGAUAUCUAUUAUUUUUGAAACAAGUACGAUAUUAUAUGGCGUUUUAAUGGAUUUAUUAUAAUCAAUACAGUGAUCGAAAAGAUAUUAUAAAUUACUUUCUCCUUUCUUGCAUGAAACCAGUUUCGUUUUGCGAUGGAAAUUAUAGAAAUAAUCAAGUUUCAUAAAAAACGU